rnacentral:rRNA from 1 species
UACAGGGGGGGCAAGCGUUGUUCGGAAUUACUGGGCGUAAAGGGUUUGUAGGUGGCUUGUUAAGUCAGACGUGAAAUCCCUCAGCUUAACUGGGGAACUGCGUCUGAUACUGAUGAGCUUGAGUGCAGGAGAGGAACGCGGAAUUCCAGGUGUAGCGGUGAAAUGCGUAGAUAUCUGGAGGAACACCGGUGGCGAAGGCGGCGUCCUGGACCAACACUGACACUGAUGAGCGAAAGCCAGGGGAGCAAACGGG